GUUAAGAAAUGGCUCGUUGUUCUCCUAUUUAUUUUGUUUUUCGUUUUGACACACUCAUCUUUUGACCUGCACCUGGUAUUCUGUGUAACCUCCGUGACAACAACAAUUGAGAGGCAAGAAAGGAUGAGAGAAAGGAAAGUUCACUCUAAGAGGCAAUAUACCUACCAUGUUUCCCCAGCAAGGUACAGCCUAUUCCAACUCAGUCAUACAAUCAUGGCAGAGGGGAGAAGUCCCAUAAUAGGUGGAUUCUUUACCAUUGCGCCACUUGGGAAGCCCCAUUAAACACUUUACCUACUUCACAUCCCCAACUGAAAGAUGAGGAGACAAACAGUUUUGGAAUUCUAUUCUUAACCAUUCACUGUGGAACAAAGGCUUUGGUGAUAAAAGAGACCAUAAUUCAAACCCUGCUGCUGCUGCUGCUGCUGCUGCUAAGUCGCUUCAGUCGUGUCUGACUCUGUGAGACCCCAUAGACGGCAGCCCACCAGGCUCCGCCAUCCCUGGGGUUCUCCAGGCAAGAACACUGGAGUGGG